rfam:Schistosoma haematobium scaffold205_1, whole genome shotgun sequence.
GUCUAGCUGACGAGUCCCAAACUGGACGAAACGCACAUCAAACUAGAU